rnacentral:rRNA from 1 species
CGCGUAGGCGGGAAUGAAAGUCAGUUGUGAAAUCCUGGGGCUCAACCUCAGAGCUGCAACUGAAACUUCAUUUCUUGAGGGCGGGAGGAGAAAACGGAAUUCCACAAGUAGCGGUGAAAUGCGUAGAUAUGUGGAAGAACACCUGUGGCGAAAGCGGUUUUCUAUCUCGUUCCUGACGCUGAGGCGCGAAAGCAAGGGGGAGCAAACA